rnacentral:rRNA from 1 species
AUACCUUGGUAGUCCAUGCCGUAAACGAUGUCUACUAGCCGUUGGAGCCUUUGAGGUUUUAGUGGCGCAGCUAACGCGAUAAGUAGUCCGCCUGGGGAGUACGGUCGCAAGACUAAAACUCAAAUGAAUUGACGGGGGCCCGCACAAGCGGUGGAGCAUGUGGUUUAAUUCGAUGCAACGCGAAGAACCUUACCUGGUCUUGACAUAGUAAGAACUUUCCAGAGAUGGAUUGGUGCCUUCGGGAACUUACAUACAGGUGCUGCAUGGCUGUCGUCAGCUCGUGUCGUGAGAUGUUGGGUUAAGUCCCGCAACGAGCGCAACCCUUUUCCUUAUUUGCCAGCGGGUUAAGCCGGGAACUUUAAGGAUACUGCCAGUGACAAACUGGAGGAAGGCGGGGACGACGUCAAGUCAUCAUGGCCCUUACGACCAGGGCUACACACGUGUUACAAUGGUCGGUACAAAGGGUUGCUACCUAGGGAUAGGAUGUUAAUUUCAAAAAGCCGAUUGUAGUCCGGAUUGGAUUUUGCAAUUGGACUCCAGGAAUUGGGAAUCGUUAGUAAUCGGGGAUCAGAAUGCCGCGGGGAAUACGUUCCCGGUCCUUGUCCCCCCCCCCCGUCCCCCCAUGGGAAUUUGUUGCACCAGAAGUAGGUAGUCUAACCGCUAGGACGACG